rnacentral:lncRNA from 11 species
UAAACAAAGAACUCAAUCACCAGAAGAAGAAGAAACAACAAAUCAUAGCCAGCUCACCCGUUGGGCAAAAUUGAUUUUUUUUCCAUCCUGGAGUACAAUAUGCAGCCAGGGAUUAGGAGGUGCCAUGUUUUAGCAGCUAAAAUUUAGCUCUCAUCUUUUUUUGUUGGUUGUGGGUUAAGAGGAAAGAGAUGUAUAGGGGCUGAAGAUGACCUCGUGUGUCCUCUCCCAUCUCUUUAACAUUUGGAAAGAGUGCAAUGGAUACAAAGGGAAUCAAAUUCUGCUCAGAAAUACACAUGACAUCUUAGGAACUGUUUUAUCUCCUGCAAAGAAUUCCGAGGAACGUGACAAACUUUUCCUUGGUGUACGCUGCCCUGAAGGAAAAGGAGUAGGCAGAAAGAAAGGAAGUUGCCUUUAACCGUCCUGAUCCCACAUAAACCAAUAGUGGUCACACUGACUGGCAGCAACUGCCUGAGAUUCCUUUCCUGUUUUUCCUUGGAGAGCCGGAGACUGAAUUUGGGAUCUUUACUACGAAAGCUGCAGGGCAACCAUUCAGCGAUGGCCCCUACCUCAAAGAUUAUUUGCUUGUAUAUGAAUAAAACCAUUUUAGGGUGGUUAACCCAUCCCUUGUUGCCUUCCAUUGUUUGCCAGCUAAGGCAGCUGUCCUAAGGUGCAUCGACAUUGCAGAAUUAAUGCAGUUUGAUGUUCAAUGCUAUGGAAUCAUGGGAGUUGUGGUUUUAUCAGGUCUUUAGGUUACUCUGCCAAAGUGUCCUGAUGCCUCACCAAACUGCAAAUUUCUGGAUUCCAUAGCACUGAGCCAUGGCGGUCCAAGUGGUGUUGUUGGACUGUGUUAAUUAUACAGUGUGUGAUUCUACAUCCUCUCUCUCCCUAACAGACAGGACUGGCCUUGAUAGCAACACUUGGAGCCACAGGAAUGUUCACAUGGUCUUCAUCCAUGUCUUGACUUGAUUAAAUCUGCUGUGCUUCAGUACUAGCUGAUUAUUUAUCUCAUAGGGCAUCCUUGGAGCAGCCUUUAUCUUUCAGGGCUGUUCAUCCACGAGCAACAUGGAAACAACUCUUGACCGAAGUGUAGAGACAGAGAUGAUAAGGCCAUUGUAUUGGUCACCUUGUCAUCCUGCAGCUGAAUGGAUAUAUAAUUCAAGAAAUGAAUGUGUAGCUGUUUUCAAAAUUUAUUCUUUUUGGGAGCUGUCUGGGAGAAAGGCAACAUAUAAAGGAAACUAACAAGCAAAUAAACGUCUUUCCAACAUAUGAUCUUAUUCCAGUAAGUUAAUCAUAAAGACAUGAAGAUCCUGUGUGGGACACUAUAUAGACACUAAGAUCCUGUGUGGGAUAUGCCACUGUUAGAAGUCAACAAAGAACGGGAGAAACUCCUUUAGGGAUACCAUCAAAGCCAUCCCUGUGAUUAGGUAGAGUGAGACAGAUAACAAGAAACACAGGAAGAUGGAAACCUAUUAAUCAGCCCAUUUGGCUUUGGUACCCAAAGUCAAGCUUGUCUUUCAUAUCAAGUAGCACAUUGUCCUCAGUCAAAAUAUCUCUGAUCUUACAACCAAGUUUUAUUUUAAUCUGAUUUAUUUGUUUGUUCAUUGUUCUCUAACUUUAUAGCCUAUUUAUUUCAGCCAAAUUUUCUGUAACUCAUGUUCUAAGUUGCUUUGGAUCCUGUAAUCAUUAUUGUGUAAUAGAAGAAAAGUGGGAUGUUAAGUAAAUAAAUAAACAAGGUCAUGGU